rfam:Beta vulgaris subsp. vulgaris contig100893.1, whole genome shotgun sequence.
AGAGUGGUGGUGUAGCGGUUAGCAUACCUGGCAUGUUAUCAGGAGACGCAGGUUCAAUUCCUGUCUGCUCAA